rnacentral:rRNA from 1 species
CUACGGGAGGCAGCAGUAGGGAAUCUUCCGCAAUGGACGAAAGUCUGACGGAGCAACGCCGCGUGAGUGAUGAAGGCUUUCGGGUCGUAAAACUCUGUUGUUAGGGAAGAACAAGUGCUAGUUGAAUAAGCUGGCACCUUGACGGUACCUAACCAGAAAGCCACGGCUAACUACGUGCCAGCAGCCGCGGUAAUACGUAGGUGGCAAGCGUUAUCCGGAAUUAUUGGGCGUAAAGCGCGCGCAGGUGGUUUCUUAAGUCUGAUGUGAAAGCCCACGGCUCAACCGUGGAGGGUCAUUGGGAACUGGGAGACUUGAGUGCAGAAGAGGAAAGUGGAAUUCCAUGUGUAGCGGUGAAAUGCGUAGAGAUAUGGAGGAACACCAGUGGCGAAGGCGACUUUCUGGUCUGUAACUGACACUGAGGCGCGAAAGCGUGGGGAGCAAACAGGAUUAGAUACCCUGGUAGUCCACGCCGUAAACGAUGAGUGCUAAGUGUUAGAGGGUUUCCGCCCUUUAGUGCUGAAGUUAACGCAUUAAGCACUCCGCCUGGGGAGUACGGCCGCAAGGCUGAAACUCAAAGGAAUUGACG